AUUUAGCCCCGAUAGUAGCAUUUGUUUGAGCUCUUUUUUCUUUGAAAAAGAAAAAAAGCGAGUGCGGAUAGCGGGAUUAAGC
rfam:Chryseobacterium sp. IHB B 17019, complete genome.